CGUCGGUACUUGUGUUACGGUCCCUUUUCAACUCCCCCUCGUCACAUUUCACGUCCUUCGUCCCGUUCUCCUCUCCCUCCUCUCCUUCCCUUGCCUGCGAUCCCUCGGAGAACACCCAGCCAAAACCCUAACCCUAUAGAUCUCGUGCCAUCUGUGGAUCUCCAUCGGAUCUUUUAGUUUUUUGGCUUUAAGAUGUUAUCCGCUCGGAUGCUUCAACAAAAUCUCGGAGUCGUUCUUCCAACGUUGGUGUCUACCGGUGUUCAGACAGAAGAGGCAUCAGAAACUGAGCCAAUUCUGUCUCAGCCAACCAAUGCUGGCAGUUCCAAGGAGUCCCCAUCUUCAUGUGAAAUCAGUCCUGUGGGUGCUGAUGAUGACGGUCAAGACAUUGAUGAUGAUGAACAUUGCAAUCUUGUGAACCAAGACCUACAUCAAUGCCGAAUUUGCCUUGAUACUGGAGGUGAUGAUUUAAUUGCACCCUGCCAUUGCAAGGGUACACAGAAAUAUGUGCAUCGAUCUUGUCUUGACAACUGGAGAUCAACCAAGGAAGGCUUUGCAUUUGCACACUGUACAGAGUGCAGGGCUGUUUUCAUACUGCGUGCAAAUGUGCCACCAGAUCGGUGGUGGUUGAGACUGAAGUUUCAGCUCCUCGUUGUCAGGGAUCACGCACUUAUAUUUGUUAUCGUGCAGCUGGUCGUUGCUUUCUUGGGCAUGCUGGUAUACAGAUUUUAUGGCGAGGAACUGCGAGAAAUGUUUGGUUAUGAGGAACACCCAUAUGGAUUUUAUACAAUGGCCAUAUUAGCUAUUAUUCUGGUGGGCUUGCUGUAUGGAUUCUUCAUUGCCAUAAUAUGUGGACAAAGGAUCAAUGAACGCCACUACCAUGUUCUUGCAAAACAAGAACUGACAAAGUGAGCAAUUCCAUGUCCACAUACAACCUCAAAACUUCUCUAUCACAUUUGGAAAUCAGCAUCACAAUCUGACAGGUGGGGAGCACUACUAUGUGAUGUCACUUUCCAAAAUGAAUAUGUGGUGGAAAGUAGAGAUGAAAAUAAGAAUUUGCCGGAACUGGACCCCACUCAUGUUACGGAGUUGAGAAUGCUGGGACUUUACUGAGCCGGAAGAUGAGCAUGAUCUAUCAAGUUCUCCAGUAAGCAGUUUGUUUUGCAAAGCAACUUAUUUUUCAUAUGCACCAAAUGAUAAACCAUUAUAUAUAGAUACAUGCAUGUAUCACAUGUAUGUGCUACAUGUUUUUCAAGUCAAUGUAGUAGAUAUCUUGUGACGGCCUUGCAUAUACAUAUACAUGUUCGGAUAUGAAUCUUUCAAUUUUCUUACUGUAAGGAGGAAAUUUAGGUAAGUGGAUGACUUAUUUAAUCAUUUUUUACCAACUCCAACCAGGUUAGGCCUUUACAAUCGCAAUGAAUUCUGUCUUACGUAGGUCCAGCCUAAAGUCUCUUUCUUUUAUUAUUAAGGGACAAAUACUUGUUCAAUUUUUGAAGCAUUUUCUACAGUGUUUUAAGGUAUGCAGCAGAAUGUAGCAUUCAAGUAGCUGUGGCCAUUUACACAGGUCGCUAGGUGGAUUGGAUUAAAGAUUAUUGAGAAAAAUAUUCAAAGAUACAAACAAAUAAAGAUGAUUAGCAAAUUGGAAUGAGGUUAAGAAAACGUAGGAAGAAAAAGGCGCAUUGUAAAAUUACAUUUUUCCCUCCCUAGAGACCAUGCAAAAAUACUAAAUUAUUCAUCUGAGAGAGCAUGUUCUUAAUUCAAAUUAAUGCAACAAGUUACUGGUUAGUCAAUCUAGAGUUUGAAAUAAACAUUUAACUCAGAAAUACUAGAACUUGUUAUCAAGGUGUUGGGAAAGCAUUGAAAGAGGCAUGGGAGCCAUUAUUUGCCUGUCUGGCUCAGCAAAUAGCAUAACCUGCCUCCUAGGCCACGACUGGUCGUGUAGGCACUUGUGAACCGGUCAACCUGUAUAUGGGGGAUCGCUUAGGCUGUUGGGCCCUAAGCAGGGAAGCUGCGAAGAUCUCCAAAGCCAGGCAGGCACAUAGGCUAUCCAACUGGCUGCUUUUGAAACAAUGAAUCUGGAGCACGAUCCAUUCAGAAUGGUAUUAGAGAAACAGUUGCCUGCAUGCACAUAGAGUUUACAUUGAAAUUGAAGAACUUUAAUCAAUGGUUUGCUGGUUAACUAUAAUUAUUACAUCUGUUUGAAAGAGGACUUUGUGAGCUCUCGUUAUUUGUUUGUUCUGCUGAUAGAAUCUCAAGUAUUUUUUCUUCUCUUGAAAAAGGUAAAUUGUUCCAGUACUGGGGCUCGAGCUGCAUUCUAUUACUGUGCUAAAGCUUGAUUUCAAUUUUCCCCAGUUUGAUUUCAUAACCUUGUUAUGCAUUUCUUCUAUUAAUCCUUGGUUUUUCCCAAUAAUUUUCUUCCGUUACCUGGUGGAAUCUACCUGUAGACACCGGAUGAAUCAACCAUGGCAUAAGGCUAAUCAACUGCAACAUGACAGGAGACCACCGCUCCAAAGGAAAAUGUAACUACAAAGCAUUUGUAGAUGGUUUUGAUUUUUUUUCACUUAUCAAGGCAACCUUACAGGACAUACUAAGUGCAUAUGCAAAUGUUUAUAUACGUUAAUGUGCUGGAAUUAUGGAGCCGCAUCUUGAUCCAUGAAGCGAUGGCUCGGAAAAAUCACAAGAAUUAUGAUGUCACCUUGUCCUGGACAGAAGGAUUUAAAUUUGCAAACUAUGGCAUCCGGCAGAGUUGUGAUGUAUUACAGAUACAAACAAGGAGAGGUUAACAAAGAAUUGCAUUUUAUUAUCAGUAUAUAUAUGCUUAUGUUGUUGAUAAGCCUAAUAAAUCUUGGCGGCCCCAAUAUACUCUCCUGGACAGAGUAUGUGGUCUAUGGCAAGUCUUUCGUGUACAAAUUGCCGGGUUUUCAGUAACCGGUGUGAAUCAGUAAUUGCAGAUAAUCAAAUGAGGCUGUUUUAUUGGCCUUAACCACCAA